UGACCAUCCCAAAGGGUAUGUAAAGCCUUUACAGACUUGCUCUCUUUUUCUUGAGCUGUUUUGCUCUAGGGGCUCCUGCUUGUGCCUCCUGAUUAGUGACCAGCUGUGACUCCACCACUUCCUUGCCAAGAAAUCUGCACUUGAAGCCCUCUGAGAAGAUAUGUCCUCAGCUCUCCCAGCACUGAGCCAUGCAAUUGAAAGGAUACAACACCAACCCCAAAUCAGGAUUCUACAGACUAAGGAUCUGUGCCCCUGACCUUUUUGGAGGCCCAACCUGCUUGUCAGUGCUCUGGCUCAAGAAGCUGCAGCCUGCCAUACCCACCUGCUGGCCUCUUGGCAAGGAGGAAAGUGUGACGUGUGCCUUGCUGAGCAAAGCAAAAUGACAUUGCUGCCUAUCCCAGCCAGUUGUCAGCAUGUCCAGUGCUAAUUGUGUCAUUGCUGCACUACUGCCGUUUCUGCAAAGAUAAGGAAGAAACACUUUUCUUGCAGUAGAGGCAAUGUAAGCAGUGUCUGAGGUUGAUAAGCGACAUGGCAUGGCCUAGGUGCUUAAUACAAGACAGAGGCUGACCAUGUGGGCCAGAAGCAAGCGCAGCCUGGCAUGCUCUCCUGUUGUGGGACAAAAGACUGACUUGGGUCUGUUCUCCUUUGCCUUUCUGAAAGAGGCCAUGGCAAGUUCCUUUGCUGUGCUGCUAGCUUUAGGAAUCAACCCACAUUGGAGAGGAAAACAAGAAUGUGAAAAUCUGCAUCUUAUUUGCAUGUAUAUUACUACAUAACUCUGAAGGUUAAUAAGAAGACAACCAGUUUUUUUCAAGCAAUUAGCCAAGAAUUUACAAAAGCUCUGUUGAGAAUCACCAUGCUGUGCAGGUUUCCUAUAGCUUCUACUUUGUCCCAGAGCACCAUUCCAGUAGGGGGGGGGGGAGGGGGGGGGAGGGAAAUUCAAUUAAUUAUACUGUUGUCAUGUUCAAUUUUUAUUAUCUUUCGAUGUGUCAAAGUUGUUGAUAGUAAACAAGAAAUGGAAUCAGCUUCAUUUUGACCUAAGACUUACAGGAGCAUCUUUCCUUACUCAAAGGGUCAAUUAAUGGGAACAGAAACAAAUCAGUGACCCUUCAGUCCCAUUAGAAAUGAUGUCAAUUGGAAUGAGUCUUUGACCACUUAAUCUGUAAACUGCAACUAGCUUCUAAACCCCCCUCUUUUCUCAAGGACGUCCCUGAGUUGGUCGAACUACUCAGAGCAAAGAUUUGGUUAAGGCAGUGUUAAAAUAAAAGCACAAGCUGGAGAUCUGCUUCCAGCUCAUCAUAUGCACCUGGGAAUUUCAGAACAUAUUUGGCUUCAUCAGACUACCCAGCCAAUUAGUUGUUAAGUGACAGCGGUCGUGCAUUAGAAAAGGGAGUUGAAUGGCAGUGAACUGCGAGAGCUGGAAACCCACAGUAUCUGAAGAUAGAUGAAGUCCUGUCACUGCCACUAUUACUUGUCACAGGUGACUAAAAGGCAGUGGAGUUCAGCUUGCCAGGAUGAUGACUUUAUUAAAGUUUUUUCACCUUUAUUUCAAAUUCUUUUAGACAAGUCUAGGAAUUUUGCCUCUUAAGACACGGAGGGGUUACCUUCAGUUUGGGAAAAGGAUGUAAAACAUUCAAAAAUAAAUACACAGAUAAGUAAAGAAGUAUUUGUGUGCAUAUGCGACUAUAUUCAUGCCUGAGCUAAAACUGUACAAGUUGGAAAUUGUUUAAUUCAUAUCAAGUAAGGAUAAGUAUAUAGCUAAAUAACUUUGGACCUGAGUAAAGGGAGAAGCUUCCAAAAAACCCAAUACGUCUGCAUGUUUUACCAAAAACCUUAUGAAAUCUACUUUUUUAUUAUUAUAUUUAGUGAAAGUCUUGAAUAUGUGCAGUGUCAUGAUCCAACAGAUGCUAGUUACUGCCUGCAGUUUCACAAUCCAUUCACCAUAAAACACGCCUUUUAUAACAGAAAAAUUUCACUGAAUUACUUAAUCAAUACCACUUGGUGUCAGAUUAUAUGUAACAGAAAUAAUCUCUUGUUUAAGGAUUUCUCUCCAAAUAGCAACUCAGUGAGAACAGGGGCUCCUUAGCAUCUCAGCGCUCAUUCAUGUCCACUUGGAAUACUAGAUGCAUGGUUGAGAAAUCUGCAAGAAAUUAAGGAAGUUUGGAUUUGCCUAGUAAUACUUUGACUUGGUAGCAUAACUGCUACCAAGACUUGAAAUAAUAAAUCUGUGAUGGAAGCUGUGUAGGGCACACCUGGCAUGAUGGAUGGUGAUAGUCAUACUUUUGUUGUCAGCUGCGGGCACCAUGCGUUAUGCCAAAUAUUUUCCCCAUUCCCAAGGCAUCCAAGGAACCCAGCUGGAAAAUAAGUCUGACUUCUCAGUGAUCUUACUCUGUUCCCACUAUUUCAGUCUUAAUGCAUAAAACUGUCUCCUGGACUGGACUUUCACUAAGUAAUUAUUAAUUGACCUUCUGUGUCUAUGUAAAAUGAAGCAGAAUACUCCUUCUGCUCACUCAUCCUGUAGCUAAGGAACAACAAAAGGUGUUUGGCAACUUUGGUGCCAACCUUUGGUGGCCCUUCUUAACCUGUCCAGGAAGCUCCCAGGGCUUUAUCUUCUUCAUAACUGACAUGUUUGACUUCCCAGUGCUUUACAAAUGAUUCUUGUCUUCAGCAAAUAAGUUUAACUUUGAACAUAAAUGUAUUCAAUAUAUAUUGUUAUCAAGCUGAUUAAAGACCUUUACUCAACACAGCACGUAUAAUUCUGAGUUAAUAAUGCCUGUUAAUUUAUGCUAGAUUAUCAACAAUUUAUCAAUAAACAGUCCAGAGAAGUAGGGAAGACUACUCUAUUUGCAGUUGUUUGUUAAAUAUUUUGUUGUACCUCAAAUGUACUUCAGAUCAUGAUAAAACUGCCCAUUUUGUUGAAUUAACUUCACUAAUUUGCUGCAUUUUAAAAGUUUUUAGGAAAAGUAAAUUGGCAUCUGGAAUGUGGGUGUUUACACCAUUCACUGUUUCAGCAUAACAGAAACUGCAGCAACAUAUCUCAAUUUUCCCUGCCCUAGAUUCAGGAAAUGAUGCAAGUUAAUUUCUGUUGUAAGUGCUCAGGAAUAUGUCAACCUGAUGAAGGAUAUUUUCUGGAUCUGAAAUACUGACACAUCUGGCUCGAUAUACAGGUGAGAGUUCCUAAAAUAAAGCUACUUUAAAUAUAUAUUUUGCUUAAAAUGGCUGAGACUUGCUUAGAAUAAUUCCAGUUCUCCUCAAGCUUAAAUGAGACACCCACAUACCAGACCAUUCCAUCUCCUAUUUUAAUG
ensembl:lncRNA